rnacentral:rRNA from 1 species
GUGCCUUAGCUAGUUGGUGAGGUAACGGCUCACCAAGGCCACGAUGCAUAGCCGACCUGAGAGGGUGAUCGGCCACAUUGGGACUGAGACACGGCCCAAACUCCUACGGGAGGCAGCAGUAGGGAAUCUUCGGCAAUGGACGAAAGUCUGACCGAGCAACGCCGCGUGAGUGAAGAAGGUUUUCGGAUCGUAAAACUCUGUUGUUAGAGAAGAACAAGGGUGAGAGUAACUGUUCACCCCUUGACGGUAUCUAACCAGAAAGCCACGGCUAACUACGUGCCAGCAGCCGCGGUAAUACGUAGGUGGCAAGCGUUGUCCGGAUUUAUUGGGCGUAAAGCGAGCGCAGGCGGUUUCUUAAGUCUGAUGUGAAAGCCCCCGGCUCAACCGGGGAGGGUCAUUGGAAACUGGGAGACUUGAGUGCAGAAGAGGAGAGUGGAAUUCCAUGUGUAGCGGUGAAAUGCGUAGAUAUAUGGAGGAACACCAGUGGCGAAGGCGGCUCUCUGGUCUGUAACUGACGCUGAGGCUCGAAAGCGUGGGGAGCAAACAGGAUUAGAUACCCUGGUAGUCCACGCCGUAAACGAUGAGUGCUAAGUGUUGGAGGGUUUCCGCCCUUCAGUGCUGCAGCUAACGCAUUAAGCACUCCGCCUGGGGAGUACGACCGCAAGGUUGAAACUCAAAGGAAUUGACGGGGGCCCGCACAAGCGGUGGAGCAUGUGGUUUAAUUCGAAGCAACGCGAAGAACCUUACCAGGUCUUGACAUCCUUUGACCACUCUAGAGAUAGAGCUUCCCCUUCGGGGGCAAAGUGACAGGUGGUGCAUGGUUGUCGUCAGCUCGUGUCGUGAGAUGUUGGGUUAAGUCCCGCAACGAGCGCAACCCUUAUUGUUAGUUGCCAUCAUUUAGUUGGGCACUCUAGCAAGACUGCCGGUGACAAACCGGAGGAAGGUGGGGAUGACGUCAAAUCAUCAUGCCCCUUAUGACCUGGGCUACACACGUGCUACAAUGGGAAGUACAACGAGUCGCGAAGUCGCGAGGCUAAGCUAAUCUCUUAAAGCUUCUCUCAGUUCGGAUUGUAGGCUGCAACUCGCCUACAUGAAGCCGGAAUCGCUAGUAAUCGCGGAUCAGCAC